UACAGAGGCCUCGAGCGUUAGGCGGAAUCACUGGGCUUAAAGCGUGUGUAGGCGGAUGGUUAAGUACCUUGUGAAAUCCCACGGCUCAACCGUGGAACCGCUCGGUAUACUGGUCAUCUUGAGCCACUUAGGGGUUACCGGAACAAAUGGUGGAGCGGUGAAAUGCGUAGAUAUCAUUUGGAACGCCAAUGGUGAAAACAGGUAACUGGGAGUGUGCUGACGCUGAGACACGAAAGCCAGGGGAGCGAACAGG
rnacentral:rRNA from 1 species